GACGCGGUGGCGCAAUGGUUAAGCGUGACGGCAUCAAAGGAUAGAGGAAGGGGCCCGGGUUCAAUUCCCGGGCAGUGUCA
rfam:Aphanomyces astaci strain APO3 cont1.592, whole genome shotgun sequence.